rnacentral:rRNA from 1 species
UACGGAGGGUGCAAGCGUUAAUCGGAAUUACUGGGCGUAAAGCGCACGCAGGUGGCUGAGAAAGUCGAUUGUGAAAGCCCUGGGCUUAACCUGGGAAUUGCAGUCGAAACUACUCGGCUAGAGUAUGGGAGAGGGUAGUGGAAUUCCCGGUGUAGCGGUGAAAUGCGUAGAUAUCGGGAGGAACAUCAGUGGCGAAGGCGGCGUUCUGGACUGCAACUGACACUGAGGAACGAAAGCCAGGGGAGCAAACGGG